rnacentral:rRNA from 1 species
GACGAACGCUGGCGGCGUGCUUAACACAUGCAAGUCGAACGGAAAGGCCCUGCUUUUGUGGGGUGCUCGAGUGGCGAACGGGUGAGUAACACGUGAGUAACCUUCCCUUGACUUUGGGAUAACUUCAGGAAACUGGGGCUAAUACCGGAUAGGGGCUCCUGCUGCAUGGUGGGGGUUGGAAAGUUUCGGCGGUUGGGGAUGGACUCGCGGCUUAUCAGCUUGUUGGUGGGGUAGUGGCUUACCAAGGCUUUGACGGGUAGCCGGCCUGAGAGGGUGACCGGCCACAUUGGGACUGAGAUACGGCCCAGACUCAUACGGGAGGCAGCAGUGGGGAAUAUUGCACAAUGGGCGGAAGCCUGAUGCAGCAACGCCGCGUGCGGGAUGAAGGCCUUCGGGUUGUAAACUGCUUUCGCCUGUGACGAAGAGUGAGUGACGGUAAUGGGUAAAGAAGCACCGGCUAACUACGUG